GAAUGAAAACAACCAUCACAUAACAAAAUGCACAAUAAGUGCCAUAGUCAUACAUCAAAUCAGAUACAAAUCUCCAGAAUCGGGAAAGAAAUACAAACAAAUGAAUUCCGUCAACAAGCCUGACGGUAAUCCAACACAAAUGAAAGAUCUAGCCUGAUGAGGGUCCCACAGAUGGCCCUAUCUCAGCUUCCAUCUUCGCGAACUCUACGGCGAACCUGAGCUCGGUGUUCUCCUGCUGUAAUCUCCCCACCUCCUUCUGGUGAAUCUUCAUCUGCCUGAAGUAAUGAUCUCUCUCAGCAAUGUAAUGAUCUCUCUC
rnacentral:lncRNA from 1 species